rnacentral:rRNA from 1 species
CAGCCGCCGCGGUAAGACCGGCAGCACGAGUGAUGACCGCUAUUAUUGGGCCUAAAGCGUCCGUAGCUGGCCACGCAAGUCCGUCGGGAAAUCCGCGCGCUUAACGCGCGGGCGUCCGGUGGAAACUGUGUGGCUUGGGACCGGAAGAUCCAGAGGGUACGUCCGGGGUAGGAGUGAAAUCCCGUAAUCCUGGACGGACCACCGGUGGCGAAAGCGCUCUGGAAAGACGGAUCCGACGGUGAGGGACGAAAGCUCGGGUCACGAACCGGAUUAGAUACCCCCGUAGUCCCUGUCUCUUAUU